UGGCGAUGAACUAAUUAUGAGUUCACGU
rnacentral:sRNA from 1 species